rnacentral:rRNA from 1 species
CCUACGCGAGGCAGCAGUGAGGAAUAUUGGUCAAUGGGCGAGAGCCUGAACCAGCCAAGUCGCGUGAGGGAGUACUGCCCUAUGGGUUGUAAACCUCUUUUGUCGGGGAGCAAAAGCCGGACGUGUCCGGCUGUGAGAGUACCCGAAGAAAAAGCAUCGGCUAACUCCGUGCCAGCAGCCACGGUAAUACGGAGGAUGCGAGCGUUAUCCGGAUUUAUUGGGUUUAAAGGGUGCGCAGGCGGAUUUUUAAGUCAGCGGUCAAAUCGUGGGGCUCAACCCCAUCCAGCCGUUGAAACUGGGGAUCUUGAGUGGGCGAGAGGUAUGCGGAAGGCGCAGUGUAGCGGUGAAAUGCUUAGAUAUUGCGCAGAACUCCGAUUGCGAAGGCAGCAUACCGGCGGCGAUCUGACGCUGAGGCACGAAAGCGUGGGUAUCGAACAGGAUUAGAUACCCCAGUAGUC